rnacentral:precursor_RNA from 1 species
UUCUAAAUCGCCCUCCCCCUGCGGCCUUGGGCGGGAGGAGCGGAUAUGGCCGUCCGUCCCCCAACAGCGGUGCGGUCGGCUUAAACAGGCACGGGGUCCGUCGCCCAUGUCACGACGAGCGGUGGCCCAAGCGGGUCGGCGUUAGUUUGUGCGGGGCGGGUGCGGCUAUGUGCGGAACUUUAUCUGGGAGCGAGCGGCUUUGCAUGCGUGCGGGUCAGCCUGUUUGCCUU